UACGGAGGGUGCAAGCGUUAUCCGGAUUCACUGGGUUUAAAGGGUGCGUAGGAGGACAGGUAAGUCAGUGGUGAAAUCUCCGAGCUUAACUUGGAAACUGCCGUUGAUACUAUCUGCCUUGAAUAUUGUGGAGGUGAGCGGAAUAUGUCAUGUAGCGGUGAAAUGCUUAGAUAUGACAUAGAGCACCAAUUGCGAAGGCAGCUCGCUACACAUAUAUUGACUCUGAGGCACGAAAGCGUGGGGAUCAAACAGG
rnacentral:rRNA from 1 species